rnacentral:lncRNA from 1 species
GCCUUUGGUUGUAAUAGAGUCUAAAUAGUAAAUAGCUGUGUUUUUAAGUACUAGUAUAAAGUUUCUAACGCUGGAGAUUAAGUCUAGCGUUUGAGAUGCAGUUUGCACAGAAUCUUUAACGUCAAUAAUGUUGUAAUUGACAUCUCCAGGGCUAGAAUUUAUUUAUUUUUUUAUGUGUAACAUAUUUGUUUUUAAAUUUCGUUCAUUUUUUUUUAUAUAUUAAUAAGGCCGUUAGUUUUCUCGUUACAAUUGUUUUACAUUGUCAUUUCGGGGCCUUUUAUAGCUGUCUAUGCAGUAUGGCUUUGCUUAUUAUCGAAGGCCGUACGGCGACCUCUAGUUGUUACUUU